AUUCUUCCUCUGCUUGAUACUUACGAGGAAGUCCGAGUUGCGAUACUGUCGACGGCUGCUGAUGAAGUGCACGACAAACAGCUGACUUAACUGCUGGAAGGAGUCUAUGAAGUUCGAUGGUAUAUUAGAAUACCAAUGAUGAACUACUUUCCUCAGAGUCGAAGGAAAAACUCGACAAAGAGUCACAUCAUUAGCUCCUUGCAGA
rnacentral:lncRNA from 1 species